AAUAGAUACCCAGGUAGUCCACGCCGUAAACGGUGGGCACUAGGUGUGGGCGACAUUCCACGUCGUCCGUGCCGCAGCUAACGCAUUAAGUGCCCCGCCUGGGGAGUACGGCCGCAAGGCUAAAACUCAAAGGAAUCGACGGGGGCCCGCACAAGCGGCGGAGCAUGUGGCUUAAUUCGACGCAACGCGAAGAACCUUACCAAGGCUUGACAUACACCGGAAACGUCCAGAGAUGGGCGCCCCCUUGUGGUCGGUGUACAGGUGGUGCAUGGCUGUCGUCAGCUCGUGUCGUGAGAUGUUGGGUUAAGUCCCGCAACGAGCGCAACCCUUGUCCCGUGUUGCCAGCAGGCCCUUGUGGUGCUGGGGACUCACGGGAGACCGCCGGGGUCAACUCGGAGGAAGGUGGGGACGACGUCAAGUCAUCAUGCCCCUUAUGUCUUGGGCUGCACACGUGCUACAAUGGCCGGUACAAUGAGCUGCGAUACCGCGAGGUGGAGCGAAUCUCAAAAAGCCGGUCUCAGUUCGGAUUGGGGU
rnacentral:rRNA from 1 species